rnacentral:misc_RNA from 1 species
AACGCACAUUGCGCCUCUCGGUAUUCCGGGAGGCACGCCUGUUCGAGCGCCAUUACACACUCCAAGCGAAGCUUGAUGUUGGACGAUGCGGUCCCUUGAGGGUCGCUAGUCUGGAACGCGUGGGCGCCCGCCGUCGGAACGUGAACGUAGCAAGACGUCAGUCAAAGUCGUUCAGUUAGUUCUUACGGAGGGUAGCCUCAUCCUUCUAUCUAAGAAUUUGGCCUCGGAUCAGGCGGGGAUACCCGCUGAACUUAA